CCUACGGGAGGCUGCAGUGGGGAAUAUUGCACAAUGGGUGCAAGUCUGAUGCAGCAACGCCGCGUGAAGGAAGAAGGGCUUCGGCUCGUAAACUUCUAUCAUCAGGGAUGAAAACAAUGACGGUACCCGAAUAAGAAGCCCCGGCUAACUACGUGCCAGCAGCCGCGGUAAUACGUAGGGGGCAAGCGUUAUCCGGAAUUACUGGGCGUAAAGGGUGAGUAGGUGGGACUGUAAGUCGGAUGUGAAAUCCCUGGGCUCAACCUCUGGCCUGCAUUUGAAACUGUUAUACUUGAGUGCUGGAGGGGCAGGUGGAAUUCCUAGUGUAGCGGUGGAAUGCGUAGAUAUUAGGAGGAACACCAGGGGCGAAGGCGAUCUACUGGACAGCAACUGACGCUGAGGCACGAAAGCGUGGGGAGCAAACAGGAUUAGAUACCCUGGUAGUC
rnacentral:rRNA from 1 species